UACGAAGGGGGCUAGCGUUGCUCGGAAUUACUGGGCGUAAAGCGCACGUAGGCGGCUCUUUAAGUCGGAGGUGAAAUCCUGGAGCUCAACUCCAGAACUGCCUUCGAUACUGGCGAUCUUGAGUCCGGAAGAGGUGAGUGGAACUCCUAGUGUAGAGGUGGAAUUCGUAGAUAUUAGGAAGAACACCAGUGGCGAAGGCGGCUCACUGGUCCGGUACUGACGCUGAGGUGCGAAAGCGUGGGGAGCAAACAGG
rnacentral:rRNA from 1 species